rnacentral:rRNA from 1 species
GGGGUGGCAACACCCUGAGUAAAGCGGCGAACGGGUGAGUAGCGCGUGGGUAAUCUACCCUUUAGUCUGGGAUAACCUCCCGAAAGGGGGGCUAAUACCGGAUGAUGUCCUCAUGGGGCAUCCCAAGGGGAGCAAAGGGGGCGCCCGUAAGGAGCUCUCGCUAAAGGAGGAACCUGCGUCCGACUAGCUAGUUGGCGGGGUAAUGGCCCACCAAGGCUCCGAUGGGUAGCCGGCCUGAGAGGGUGAUCGGCCACACUGGGACUGAGAUACGGCCCAGACUCCUACGGGAGGCAGCAGUAGGGAAUAUUGCGCAAUGGACGAAAGUCUGACGCAGCAACGCCGCGUGAGCGAUGAAGGUCUUCGGAUCGUAAAGCUCUGUCAGAGGGGACGAACCGUCCCGGGUCGAAUAGACACGGGAUCUGACGGUACCCUCAGAGGAAGCACCGGCCAACUCCGUGCCAGCAGCCGCGGUAAUACGGAGGGUGCAAGCGUUGUUCGGAUUUACUGGGCGUAAAGCGCGAGCAGGCGGGUCGGCAAGUCCUGUGUGUAAUCUUUCGGCUCAACCGGAAAACUGCAUGGGAAACUACCGAUCUUGAGUGCGAGAGAGGAUGGCGGAAUUCCUGGUGUAGCGGUGAAAUGCGUAGAUAUCAGGAGGAACACCGGUGGCGAAGGCGGCCAUCUGGCUCGACACUGACGCUCAUCCGCGAAGGUCGGGGGAGCAAACAGGAUUAGAUACCCUGGUAGUCCCGACAGUAAACGUUGGACACUAGGUGUUGGAGGUCGACCCCUCCAGUGCCGCAGCUAACGCAUUAAGUGUCCCGCCUGGGGAGUACGGCCGCAAGGUUGAAACUCAAAGGAAUUGACGGGGGCCCGCACAAGCGGUGGAGUAUGUGGGUUUAAUUCGACGCAACGCGAAGAACCUUACCUGGGGUUUGACAUGCACGGGGACGGAUGCAGAAGA